GGAAAAAAUACUUUUUGUUUUUACGCGUUUAUUUCUUAAAAAACACGUGUUAGAAAGCUAUAAAAUACGCUACCUGGGCAUUGUGUAAGUCAUGCUCAACAGAAAGCCGGAACUUCAUCCGACUACCGGCGGCGCAUUCCGGCGCCAGAGUAUGCCGCCGCCUUAGAAUACGAAUCAAAACUCUGAGCCCUAAAAAAAAUAAAGCCCUAGCUCUGGAGGUUGCAAAUGCAGCUUUGACGUAUCAAAUAUGCUAACACUGUUGAUCUUUGGCAUUAUUCUAGAGACUCAAGAGCUUUCGAGGAUACCUUUUUAUGUACCCUUUGUUUCAAAAGUGGAGGAAGUGGGAGAAAUGUAAGCAGAGGAUUUUGUUUGGUUCCUCGUAGUUUCCGACUGCAGACCAUGCACUAGAUCAAACUUGAGAACUGUUGCACUUUUUAGGGUUACUGAAUUUUGUUUCAACUGAUUACGUUUUCGGAUUCUGUCGACAUUUUGCUAUGAACUGGGUUAAGAGAGUAGCGGUUUGACUUAACAUCAUGAGAAAAGAAACAAAAAGGUCAGGUGGCGAAGAGAUUUCUAGAAGUUGAAAUUCCAUCGAAACAUCUUUUGUUCCUCUCUGUCCAUAAACACCAGAAGAUAACACCAGGGAUCAUCAUCGACAUACUCUUGGUGGCUUUGUCAACAUCCCGUGAAUUCCAACUUUCAAGAGCAUCCCUAACAGAGAAAGGCAUGACCAAAGAAAUGCCAAAAAAACAACAAAACAUAUUCCAUAGGUGUGAGGCAGCUGGGCAGUGCAGUAGCAAGUGGUUGACACUUUCUGCGUGCUUGUGGCAUAAAUAGCAUCGGUUAGCAAGCUGGAAUUUCCUUUUGGAGAGAUUAUCCUGUGUGAGGCAUGAGUUAUGUAGUGCAGUGCAACUGAAACAGAUCACUUUGGUAGGUAAUUUUGUCUUCCAUAUAUGCAGGUGUGGUUCUUCUCUUUAUUGUGUAUACUGUCGCGAUUCUCUAGACUUAAAGUAAAUCUGCCGAUACACCUGUGAAUUGUGAGAUUAAAAAAAAGAGUUGGAAAGCUACACUGGAGAGUGCACUGUCAGGAGAGAGAUUGUAUUUUUGCAGAAUCUAGGAAAAACAGAUGGAGAGAAGUUCUUUGCCAAGAGUUUGUCUUCAAGAAAGGCAGCAAGAAUAAUAAUAAGAAGACUGUUCAUGAUGUGAUACUCAUGCCAGACCUGUAAGGAGACUGCAUCAUCUGCAGAAGCUAUCUGCUCGGAGCUUCCACAGCAGUCAUACCAUCAGUGUGAUCAAUCUUCCACUUCAAGUUGUGGUGACGGGGUAUCACGAUGUAAGGCCUAGUGUGAAAAUGGAACUUGUUAAUAUCUGGAAUAGCAAAUUCUCAAGCUCAAGGGGAGUGUACAAGUACGCGCGAUGGGGAGUCAAAAGAAGUACAUCUGAAAUAACAAAUUACAAGGUAAAGGGGAAUGCACAAGUCCACGCGAUGGGGAGUAAAAAUAGGGUAAACCGUUCCUGCCAUUUGUUCAGGAGAUUGUGACAUCCAGCUGUAUAUGAUUUUCAGUUGGAUCAGGGUAGCUGAGGGGUGGCUCAUCUUCUCAGGAGUUUGAAAAUUGUAGGUUAAGAGAGGAGUGGUUUGACUUAUCGCCAUGUGAAAAAAAAAAAGGUCAGGUGGGUAAGGUGUGGUUCUCCUCUUUAUUGAGUAUACAGUCGGGAUUCUCUAGACUUAAAGUAAUUCUGCCGAUAUACCUGUGAAUUAAGAGAUAUACCUGAGCUACACUGGAUCUCCUUCCAUGCAGCCAAAGAAACUGAUUGGAGUGUGCACUGUCAGGAGAGAGAUUGGAUCUUUGCAGAAUAUUCUGUGAGGAAGUGCUUCUGAAAAGCGUGAUCCCUGAGUCUGGAUUCCUCAGUCAGAUAGAAAGUUCAAGUUAGUCUCUUGCUUAUCGCACAGUUGGUGUAAACUGGAAAUUCAGAAGCUCUGCGGCAACCCCUUCAAUCUAAUGUUUUACCUACAGAGGAUAAUUUAUUGGAUAGCAGCUUUCUGGUUAAUAAAUUCAAUGCUUCAGCUAUAAAUCAGACUUCCUGUUAGGUUGAAGGAUGAGUCUGAGACAAUUGUAGCUGCCGGAUCAACAAAGUAUUGUCCUCUUUAGGAAGUCUCUUGAACUUGAUGACAGUUCAAAUGUGAUGCAUAAGAGAAGGAAUUUAUGCAGAGCUGUUCUUUGCACAAAAGGCUGGUACAUGAUGGACCGUCUUUUGAUAAUGGUGAAUUUUUUUUUUUUGGAAACUGGUAACUAUAAUGGUGAAAUUUUUAUGUUUGUUCUAAAGAGGAUAUGCGCAGUAUAGAAGGACUGGAUCUAUGAGAUGUUUAUCGUUCAGGUGCUUCUGAGUUGUGUUAUGAUUGAGAUGAUUUGUUACAUGUACAUUCUCAUGAUGAAAAAAAUCUCAGGAGAUGGAUCAUCAAAAAAAUCUUAAGAAUUAUUUGAUACCACGAGCUAUGAUCUCCUCUAGUGUGGAUGUGGACUCGUAUAAAUGGAUUGAUGCUAGAAAUCGAGGUAAGACAGAUGAGCUUAGAUUAGAAGUAAGAAGUGUAUAAGAUGUCAUUCAGCUCCCCCUCCAUUUUGCCACAAGUGAAUCUACAAGAAAAGCAGCAGGAAAUAGAAAUAUUAAGGCAAGAAGAAGUUUAUGAUGUGCCACUCAUGCCAGAAACUAGAACUGUAAGGAGAUUGCAUCAUUCUGCAGAAGCUAUCUGCUCUGAGCUUCCACAGACCACAGCAGUCAUCCCAUCAAUGUGAUCAAUCUUCCACCCCAAGUUGUGGUGACAGUGUAUUCUCUCCUGUAAGAGUGGUACUGGAACAGAGAGUCUACCAUUGAUAAAACUUGCCUAGACGGUGCCAAAGUUCUCCAACUGGUGGAUAAGAAGUUCAGAUUUGGUUAACAUUUACUAUUAUCUAUAGACCAUGUUCACAGGUUUCAAAAGCGCAUAUGGGUGGUAGCAUGCGUCUUGGAUCAAGAAGAACGUAUUUUCAAGUCAAAGAUUCUAAAUUUGGUAGUUGUUUCUAAAACUCAUGGGAGGCUGAAUGGACGUAAGGUUUUGAAGGACGGCAUUUAAAGAGGAUGAUUUACUGGAUAACAAAUUCAGUGCUUCAGCUAGAUCCAGUUAUAAAUCAGACUGCCUGUUAGGUUCUGGAUUAGAGGAGUCUUAAACAAUUGUAGCUGGCAGAUCAACAGGGGAUGCCUCAUUUUGGGGAGUCUCUUGAACUUCAUAAGAUUCAAAUGUGAUGACUGAUGCAUGUGAGAAGGAAAGCAUUUAUGUGGAGCUGUUCUUUGCACAGAAGCCUGAUAUGAUCAUCUUAUCGAUUUCUUUAAACAGAUUGCUGAAAAAUAUGGUUCUGGCCUGCCAUCUUUUAGUUGAGACUGUCUCCUCUGCCACCAUAUCCUGAGUGUGCUAUUGUGAAGUCUAACUCUGAGCAUGAAGUUAAUAUGUUUUGGUUUGGUUAAAGCAGGACUUGAUUCUGAUUCACAAGCUGCCAACAUCUGUCACACUUCUUGCGGUUUCUUGCUCCAUUCUGAGGUAUCAAUAACAGUUUAUAUCAGUUAUGUGCUGCAUCUUGUUGAAAGCAAGAAGGAUUUUUGAGGGUUUAAGCCUUUCAAGUGUCAUUUGUGGCGCAUUUCUCUUAAGAAAUGGAGAGUGUCAUAGGGUGCUUUAUCUUUUGUUCCAUCACAUUGUGAUCGUCUGGGAGUGUAUAUUCUUAUGUAGAAAGUGAGGCCCAUGACAAAAUGAACCAUGCUGCAGAUGAGUGAAUUCAUUCGUUUUGAAGAACUGCUUGAGUAGACCAUGCCUGAAACUGGUUACCAAUUAUUACACAACUAUGCUAACCAAAUUCAAAACUGGGGUUAGAUCUGCAACAUUCAUUCUCAAGCUUCAAGAUUAUUUACGAGCUUGCUGAUGCAGAUGGAUCAUCAACAGUACCCUAUCAGUGAAUCAGGUCUUGAAAAAACAAGGUGAGUCGAAAAUUGCAUUUAAGGAAAUAUCUGCGUUGGACUGCAAAUGAUGUGAGGAUGACCUGCCUUUGCACACGUGCUUUUUCUUCUCCUUGCCGCUGUUGUCCAAUGGUUGGAAUUCAUUCGAGCUCCCUUAAUAAAUUGAAUGCAAGCUUUCAGGAUAAAGAGACGUGAUAAGUUAUCUUUUCUACAGUUUGUUUCUUUAAAAACCACUGUUUAAUUUGCAGGUCCUUCAGUAUUUCAGUAUGUUGUCCUGACAAAGAAAAACGGGAAACUAAUCCUUGGUUAACAUUUACUAAAUUGGAUGCUUUCCUUUUAUGGUG